ensembl:rRNA 5S_rRNA 5S ribosomal RNA
GUCUAUGGCCAUACCACCCUGAAUGUGCCUGAUCUCAUCUGAUUUCGGAAACUAAGCAGGGUUGGGCCUGGCUGGUACUUGGAUGCAAGAUGGGCCAGCCCCCUUUGAGU